GGGGGGGGGGCGAUCUGGCUGCGACAUCUGUCACCCCAUUGAUCGCCAGGGUUGAUUCGGCUGAUCUGGCUGGCUAGGCGGGUGUCCCCUCCUCCCUCACCGCUCCAUGUGCAUCCCUCCCGAAGCUGCGCGCUCGGUGGAAGAGGACGACCAUCCCAGAUAGAAGGAGUGUACCGUUCUUCGGUCAAGGGUAUACGAUAGCUGCGCUCCCCUGCUAGAACCUCCAAACAAGCUCAUGGUCUCUUAAACUUUUGAAUCUCAGAGCAGGAAUCUAAAUAUUGUGGAAAACAGAAUGUAGAACUCCCUCCCCGCAUGGAAAGCCAGGUAAGGG